rnacentral:rRNA from 1 species
CGGCGGACGGGUGAGUAACACGUGGAUAACCUACCUAUAAGACUGGGAUAACUUCGGGAAACCGGAGCUAAUACCGUAUAAUAUAUUGAACCGCAUGGUUCAAUAGUGAAAGACGGUUUUGCUGUCACUUAUAGAUGGAUCCGCGCCGCAUUAGCUAGUUGGUAAGGUAACGGCUUACCAAGGCAACGAUGCGUAGCCGACCUGAGAGGGUGAUCGGCCACACUGGAACUGAGACACGGUCCAG